rnacentral:misc_RNA from 1 species
AGAUAAGCCAAGACACUGGGAAGUACGUGUUUGGUGUCGAUGACACACUGAAAACUCUUGAUAUGGGCGCAGUGGAGACUUUGAUCGUCUGGGAGAAUCUAGAUAUUACAAGGUUUGUUCUGAAGAACAGUGUUUCCGGUGAAAUUGUCAUAAAGCAUUUGAGCAAGGAGCAGGAAGCUGACCAGAGCAACUUCCGUGACCCUGCCGCCAAUGCGGAGUUAGAG